ensembl:rRNA 5S_rRNA 5S ribosomal RNA
AGGAGCAGCCAUACCACCUGCAGUUUAGCCUCGGUAAUCCAGCUGAAGCUAAGCAGGUUUGAGCCUGGCCAGUACUUGGAUCGGAGACCAGCUGGGUUGCAGCUGGAAGCGGUGUUGG